GACGAACGCUGGAGGCGUGCUUAACACAUGCAAGUCGAACGAUGAAAUGGAGCUUGCUCCAUGGAUUAGUGGCGAACGGGUGAGUAACCCGUGAAUAACCUGCCCUUAAUUUUGGAAUAACCCAGGGAAACCUGCGCUAAUACCGGAUAAGUAAACCUGUGGCAUCACAUGGUUUUGGAAAGUUUUUCGAUUAAGGAUGGAUUCGCGGCCUAUCAGCUUGUUGGUGAGGUAAUGGCUAACCAAGGCGACGACGGGUAGCCGGCCUGAGAGGGUGAACGGCCACACUGGAACUGAGACACGGCCCAGACUCCUACGGGAGGCAGCAGUGGGGAAUAUUGCGCAAUGGACGAAAGUCUGACGCAGCGACGCCUCGUGAGGGACGAAGGUAUUCGGAUUGUAAACGUCUUUCAGCAGGGACGAAGCGAAAGUGACGGUACCUGCAGAAGAAGCACCGGCUAACUAUGUGCCAGCCGCCGCCGUAA
rnacentral:rRNA from 1 species